rnacentral:rRNA from 1 species
UGGGGAAUUUUGGACAAUGGGCGAAAGCCUGAUCCAGCAAUGCCGCGUGUGUGAAGAAGGCCUUCGGGUUGUAAAGCACUUUUGUCCGGAAAGAAAUCCUUGGCUCUAAUACAGUCGGGGGGAUGACGGUACCGGAAGAAUAAGCACCGGCUAACUACGUGCCAGCAGCCGCGGUAAUACGUAGGGUGCAAGCGUUAAUCGGAAUUACUGGGCGUAAAGCGUGCGCAGGCGGUUUGCUAAGACCGAUGUGAAAUCCCCGGGCUCAACCUGGGAACUGCAUUGGUGACUGGCAGGCUAGAGUAUGGCAGAGGGGGGUAGAAUUCCACGUGUAGCAAUGAAAUGCGUAGAGAUGUGGAGGAAUACCGAUGGCGAAGGCAGCCCCCUGGGCCAAUACUGACGCUCAUGCACGAAAGCGUGGGGAGCAAACAGGAUUAGAUACCCUGGUAGUCCACGCCCUAAACGAUGUCAACUAGUUGUUGGGGAUUCAUUUCCUUAGUAACGUAGCUAACGCGUGAAGUUGACCGCCUGGGGAGUACGGUCGCAAGAUUAAAACUCAAAUGAAUUGACGGGGUCAUAGCUG